rnacentral:rRNA from 1 species
UACGAAGGGGGCUAGCGUUGCUCGGAAUCACUGGUCGUAAAGGGUGCGUAGGCGGGGCUUUAAGUCAGGGGUGAAAUCCUGGAGCUCAACUCCAGAACUGCCUUUGAUACUGGGGAUCUCGAGUCCGGGAGAGGUGAGUGGAACUGCGAGUGUAGAGGUGAAAUUCGUAGAUAUUCGCAAGAACACCAGUGGCGAAGGCGGCUCACUGGCCCGGAACUGACGCUGAGGCGCGAAGGCGUGGGGAGCGAACGGG